GAUGAACGCUGGCGGCGUGCUUAACACAUGCAAGUCGAACGAUUAAAGCUCUCUUCGGAGAGUGUAUAGAGUGGCGAACGGGUGAGUAACACGUGGGCAACCUGCCCCUCACACUGGGAUAACUCAGGGAAACUUGAGCUAAUACCGGAUACUUCGGGAUGAUCGCGUGGUCGACCCGAGAAAGCUCCGGCGGUGAGGGAUGGGCCCGCGGCCCAUUAGCUUGUUGGUGAGGUAACGGCUCACCAAGGCCGCGAUGGGUAGCCGACCUGAGAGGGUGAUCGGCCACACUGGGACUGAGACACGGCCCAGACUCCUACGGGAGGCAGCAGUGGGGAAUCUUGCACAAUGGGCGAAAGCCUGAUGCAGCAACGCCGCGUGCGGGAUGAAGGCCUUCGGGUUGUAAACCGCUUUCAGCAGGGAUGAAACUGACAGUACCUGCAGAAGAAGCCCCGGCUAACUACGUGCCAGCAGCCGCCGUAAGAC
rnacentral:rRNA from 1 species